rnacentral:lncRNA from 1 species
AGAGCUAAGACUUAGGGGACUGGCAGAUUAUUGCAAAAGGGCACGGGGCAGAGGGACUAUGUUGUGAGCCUGCGAAAGAAGUUUGUGUGGGGACUGUGGGCAGUGAACGCGUUGGGAACAAUAUGGAAAACUGGGAGCCGCCUUGGAAUCUACAGGGCCGGGACCCACUCGAGCCAUCCACACUUGCCCCAGCCUCCUCCAAAACAGCACACUUUCCGGCUGAAGAAAAGAAGAAUGGUAUUCACGCAGUUCCCAUUUUACAGAUGAAAACAAGAGGACUUUUUCUGUGAAGUCAAGAAAGUGGUUACAAUGGUACUUUCAGCCUGUCCGAAUUAUGUAUUGCCCCUCCCCUUUUUAUUAAUAACAUUGAAGUGUGAUGGGACAACCACUGAAGCCGUCAGUUGAAACCUGCUGGGACUUUUUAGCCAUUCUCUUCAACAUAAAGAAUGGGUGUUUUUGGAGGGGGUGAGAGGAAUGGGGAAAUGUUGUCAAAGAGUACAACGUUUUAGUUGAGACAGGAAGAAUAUAUUUUGUUGAGAUCUACAGCACAGCAUGGUGACUGUAGUUAACAAUGAAGUAUUGUCUAUUUCCAAAUUGCUAAGACAAUAAAUUUCAAAUGUUCUCACCACAAAAAAGAUAGGUUUUGAGGUGAUGAAUCUAUUAAUU